UGGGGAAUUUUGGACAAUGGGGGAAACCCUGAUCCAGCAACUCUGCGUGGAGGACGAAGUCUCUCGGGAUGUAAACUCCUUUUCCAGGGGACGAAUAGGCGCAAGCCUUUGACGGUACUCUGGGAAUAAGCAACGGCUAACUACGUGCCAGCAGCCGCGGUAAGACGUAGGUUGCGAGCGUUAUUCGGAUUCACUAGGCGUAAAGCGUGUGUAGGCGGAUGCCUAAGUCUGUUGUGAAAUCUCCCGGCUCAACUGGGAGAGGUCAACGGAUACUGGGCGUCUUGAAUUGGGUAGGGGGAACCGGAAUUCCUGGUGUAGCGGUGAAAUGCGCAGAUAUCAGGAGGAACACCGGCGGCGAAGGCGGGUUCCUGGGCCUUAAUUGACGCUGAGACACGAAAGCUAGGGGAGCAAACAGGAUUAGAUACCCCCGUAGUCC
rnacentral:rRNA from 1 species